AUUUUGUGGUACGUCUCGUUGGUGGAUAAUAUUGUAUUAAAACUAUGCAUAGUAAUACAAGAUUGAACCCACAACUGACACUAAGCACAAGGAUACAUCCAUAGAAUAUUUAUCCAAACAAAGUUCCCUAGGUAAUUGUUCAUAAGCAACAGAAAAGGUAAAAACGCCAAGCAUUUCACGAAAUUGUUUUUCCACUUGCCAAGGAAAUAAUGAUUUCCACAUCUGAACCUUAGCCGAAUAUAAGCUUACUAAAGCCGAAACCUGAUGGCGCAACACCAAUUCAGAAUUCAGAAGUGGUUGCUGUUUCUUACAAAUAUGUACAAAACCUAUUUACCUACCCCCAGUGCCAAGGAAGCUUAUCUACAUUUUCCCUCAUACUGAAGUGCCCAAUACGAGAGAAGGCUUCAUCUAUGGCAUGAUGAAAAGAUCGACCAAGAUACACAGAAGAGUGGCAUCUAGGCAAACCUGCAAUACACAUUAUUUACAAUUCAAAAAAUAACAUGAUUUAUUGUUGAUCUAUGUACAGCAGUUCCCUAGCACUGACUAGGUGAUCAAAACAAGUAUCCUUGCAUCAUCUAUUCAGGCCUGUAGUUCACCAGAUUUGAGAGCUCAGUUGACUGAAGUUUCCUGAUGUCAUUUGCAGUCACCUUGCAGGAUUCCAAGGUAAGUGAUUUCAAGUUCUUGAGUUGCUUCAAAUGUUGCAACCCUGUACUUGUUACGCGAGAAUUUGAAACAUUCAGAGACACCAGCUGUGUCAACCCUGCAUUUCAGUAAAGAUAAAGCUGCUUCUGUUAGAAAUUCAGAAGGAAAAAAAAAACUAUAGACAGCAACUACUGUUCACUAAGGGGUAAUGGAUGCAUGGUUUUGAAAAAUUCUUUAAAACACCUCGAGAUUGGUACAUCCAUUGCUAUAGCUGCAUGGGAUAAACAAAGGGAGGAAGAACUAAAGAAAAUCCCAGUAUAAUGUAGCUGGCUAAUAACAAUUAACAAACACUGGGGGGAGGAUAAGACUAGAGAUAAUGUCAUAUGCCCUUUCUCCACACUUCCAAAAUCAAAGGGAAUAAACAAGCUCAAGCUACAGGGAAAGAAGCAUAAAUAGACAUGAAACAAUACCAGAAAUCGCUUCCAAGCUCUUAUCAGUCAGGUGACUGUUUUGAGAAAGAUUCA
rnacentral:lncRNA from 1 species